GACUCUUCUCUCUGCUGUCACCGCCGCAGCCUUACUUAUACUCCUCGUAACACUUGUACGUAUCGAACCAGACACCGAUCAACCGACACCGGUAGUCACCUCUUCUGCUCCCCGCGGUGUCUCAGAAGGUGUUUCCGAUAAGUCGACAGCAUCGCUCCUCGGUUCCCCCCACACCAGCUUCCCAUGGAGCAACGCCAUGCUCAAGUGGCAGCGGACGGGGUUCCACUUCCAGCCGGAGAAGAAUUGGAUGAAUGAUCCUGACGGGCCCCUCUUCUACAAGGGAUGGUAUCACCUCUUCUACCAGUACAACCCAGACUCAGCAGUCUGGGGCAACAUAACGUGGGGGCACUCAGUCUCGCGCGACCUCAUUCACUGGCUCCACCUACCCCUCGCUUUCGUCCCCGAUCAUUGGUACGAUGCCAAUGGUGUUUGGACUGGCUCCGCCACCUUCCUCCCUGAUGGUCGCAUUGUCAUGGUCUACACCGGCUCCACCACUGAGGCGGUUCAGGUUCAGAAUCUCGCCUAUCCUGCCGAUUUGGAUGACCCCCUUCUUCUCAAUUGGCUCAAGUCGGAUGCUAAUCCAGUUCUUCUUCCACCACCAGGGAUUGGCGUGAAGGACUUUCGUGAUCCUACCACUGCCUGGUACGAUGCGGCUACCGAAGCAUGGAAGCUCGCCAUAGGCUCUAAGGACCAGAACCAUACCGGCAUUUGCCUUAUUUAUCGCACCAACGACUUCAUCGAC
rnacentral:misc_RNA from 1 species